GCAUAUCAAUAAGCGGAGGAAAAGAAACUAACAAGGAUUCCCCUAGUAACUGCGAGUGAAGCGGGAAAAGCUCAAAUUUAAAAUCUGGCGGUCUUUGGCCGUCCGAGUUGUAGUCUGGAGAAGCGUCUUCCGCGUUGGACCGUGUACAAGUCUCUUGGAACAGAGCGUCAUAGAGGGUGAGAAUCCCGUCUUUGACACGGACUACCAAUGCUUUGUGAUGCGCUCUCAAAGAGUCGCGUUGUUUGGGAAUGCAGCGCAAAAUGGGAGGUGAAUUCCUUCUAAAGCUAAAUAUUGGCGAGAGACCGAUAGCGAACAAGUACCGUGAGGGAAAGAUGAAAAGCACUUUGGAAAGAGAGUUAAACAGUACGUGAAAUUGCUGAAAGGGAAACGCUUGAAGUCAGUCGCGUCGUCCGGAACUCAGCCUUGCUUCGGCUUGGUGCACUUUCCGGUUGACGGGCCAGCAUCGAUUUUGACCGCUGGAAAAGGGCUGGAGGAAUGUGGCACCUUCGGGUGUGUUAUAGCCUUCAGUCGCAUACAGCGGUUGGGAUCGAGGAACGCAGCACGCCUUAUGGCUGGGGUUCGCCCACAUUCGUGCUUAGGAUGCUGGCAUAAUGGCUUUAAACGACCCGUCUUGAAACACGGACC
rnacentral:rRNA from 1 species